rnacentral:rRNA from 1 species
UACAGAGGUCCCAAGCGUUGUUCGGAUUCACUGGGCGUAAAGGGUGCGUAGGUGGUCGGGUAAGUCUGAUGUGAAAUCUCCGAGCUCAACUCGGAAAUGGCAUUGGAUACUACUUGGCUAGAGAGUCGGAGGGGGGACUGGAAUUCUCGGUGUAGCAGUGAAAUGCGUAGAUAUCGAGAGGAACACCAGUGGCGAAGGCGAGUCCCUGGACGACUUCUGACACUGAGGCACGAAAGCUAGGGGAGCAAACAGG